GAUUAAAACUAAAAUUUAAAAAAGCGCGCCCGAUCUCAUCUGAUCUCGGAAACUAAGCAGGUUCGGGCCUGGUUAGUACUUGGAUGGAAGACCGCCUGGGAAUACCAGGUGCCGUAAGCU
ensembl:rRNA 5S_rRNA 5S ribosomal RNA